rnacentral:tRNA from 1 species
CGAGUCAGAGCUCAAAGAGAGUACUUUAUUUACACUAAAGUGGUUAUUAUAAAUAUGAUAUGGCUUGA